GAGGGUACGUAAUUUUGAGUUCAAAGAAUGAACAUCUAUUUGUUUGGGAACAGUCUGUAGAAGUAUGAGGGCCGACUCCCUAAGUAACGGGUAAGUUGUGUAAAGGAGGAUACAAACCAUAAUCAAACAAAGAACAGGAUCUAAAUAUAGUAACCAGCAUGGACCAGCCACCGUAAUGCUCUCUUGCUCAGACUUGUUUGCACUGCCAAGAGGUUGGGAUAAAGUAGCAUUCUCCACGCAAUGGCUAUUGACACAUGGAUUAAAGCAGGGCCCAUCUUUGGGGCAUGGAUUCCACAAACCAUAAAAAAGCAAGGCAUUCACUACGACAAUUACUGAACCUAAGGCAUCUCCAAAAACAUGCAGAAAAACUCCACGCAUGUUAAGCUGCGCGCUAGAGUCUUCCUCAACUUCUUCAACAUCCAGAGGAUAAUGCCCAGCGUUCCCAUUCACUUGUAGGUCCGUCGUGUCGUCCUUCAUAUCACCCAGCUUCUCUUGGCUGACCCCGUUGGAGCUGCUGCAGUUCUCCACCAAGGUGCUGGUCUCCUCGCGGUGCAGCGCGGCCUCCCCGUCCCCGGGGGUUUGUUCGGCCUUACCGCCGCCCCGGGGGAGCCGGGCGCCGCCCCCGUGCGCGUGCCCGUGCCCGUGGGAAUGGCCGUGUCCGCCGACGCCGUGGUGGUUGAAGAGGCAGAGCCCCAGCAGGUUGAUGACGAGCCCCGCCACCCCCACGGCGAUGACCACCAGCGGCUGCUGGAUCUCGUGGGGCUCGGUGAAGCGCUCGAUGGCCUCCAGCAGGAUGGUGAAGCAGAGGGCGGUGAGGAAGACGGCGUUGACCAGGGCGCCCAUCACCUCGGCGCGCA
rnacentral:lncRNA from 1 species